rnacentral:rRNA from 1 species
AGGGCAAGUCUGGUGCCCAGCCAGCCGCCGGUAAUUCCAGCUCCAAUAGCCGUAUAUUAAAGUUGUGCCAGUUAAAAAGCCUCGUAGUUGAAUUUCGGGAUUGACGUGAUGGUCAUGCCUUAAGGGGUAUGAACUGUUACAGUUGAUUUCUCACCUUCUGGAAAAACUUGAUGUCCUUUAUUGGGUGUCUUGGCAGAUCCAGGACCUUUACCUUGAAAAAAUUAGAGUGUUUAAAGCAGGGCAUUUUUGCUCGAAUACAUUAGCAUGGAAUAAUAGAAUAGGACGGCCAUGGUUCUAUUUUGUUGGUUUCUAGGAUCACCGUAAUGAUUAAUAGGGAUAGUUGGGGGCAUUAGUAUUCAAUUGUCAGAGGUGAAAUUCUUGGAUUUAUUGAAGACUAACUACUGCGAAAGCAUUUGCCAAGGAUGUUUUCAUUAAUCAAGAACGAAAGUUAGGGGAUCGAAGACGAUCAGAUACCGUCGUAGUCUUAACCAUAAACUAUGCCGACUAGGAAUCAGACGAUGUUAAUUUUUUAAUACUCGUUCGGCGCCUUACGGGAAACA